rnacentral:tRNA from 1 species
AGGGUAGUAGUUAAAAUAACAGUUAAAUUGCAAUUAAAAAAUGCUAUAAAUAUAGCCUACCUUA